ensembl:ncRNA W05B10.7 ncRNA
UUCAUUGUGAUAGUCAACAAUUGGUGGGAAAAAAAAGUAUGAAAGAAUGAUGGAAUUGGAAAGGAAAAAGAACAUUGUUGUGCGGGUAAUUUGACGAACAUUUAUUCGAUGUUUGCCUGAAAAGGGAGACAGAAGGAGAAAAGAGUAGUGUUUAUUUGAUUUGG